AUUGAACGCUGGCGGCAUGCUUUACACAUGCAAGUCGAACGGCAGCGCGGGCUUCGGCCUGGCGGCGAGUGGCGAACGGGUGAGUAACGCAUCGGAACGUGCCCAGUAGUGGGGGAUAGCCCGGCGAAAGCCGGAUUAAUACCGCAUACGACCUGAGGGUGAAAGCGGGGGACCGAAAGGCCUCGCGCUAUUGGAGCGGCCGAUGUCGGAUUAGCUAGUUGGUGGGGUAAAGGCUUACCAAGGCGACGAUCCGUAGCUGGUCUGAGAGGACGACCAGCCACACUGGGACUGAGACACGGCCCAGACUCCUACGGGAGGCAGCAGUGGGGAAUUUUGGACAAUGGGGGCAACCCUGAUCCAGCCAUGCCGCGUGCGGGAAGAAGGCCUUCGGGUUGUAAACCGCUUUUGUUCGGGAAAGAAAUCCUCUGGGCUAAUACCCCGGGGG
rnacentral:rRNA from 1 species